GAUUAUGGCUCAGAACGAACGCUGGCGGCAGGCCUAACACAUGCAAGUCGAGCGCGCCCUUCGGGGUGAGCGGCGGACGGGUUAGUAACGCGUGGGAACGUACCCUUUGGUAGGGAAUAGCCACUGGAAACGGUGAGUAAUACCCUAUGAGCCCUUCGGGGGAAAGAUUUAUCGGCCAAAGGAUCGGCCCGCGUUAGAUUAGGUAGUUGGUGGGGUAAUGGCCUACCAAGCCUACGAUCUAUAGCUGGUUUUAGAGGAUGAUCAGCAACACUGGGCCUGAGACACGGCCCAGACUCCUACGGGAGGCAGCAGUGGGGAAUCUUGGACAAUGGGGGCAACCCUGAAUCCAGCCAUGCCGCGUGAGUGAAGAAGGCCUUAGGGUCGUAAAGCUCUUUCGCCUGUGAAGAUAAUGACGGUAGCAGGUAAAGAAACCCCGGCUAACUCCGUGCCAGCCGCCGC
rnacentral:rRNA from 1 species